rnacentral:tRNA from 1 species
GGGCGCUUAGCUCAGUUGGUAGAGCACGGCAUUGAAAAUGCCGGUGUCCCCGGUUCAAGUCCGGGAGCGCCCA